rnacentral:rRNA from 1 species
AAUGAACGCUGGCGGCAUGCCUAAUACAUGCAAGUCGAACGGACGCACAGGAAGAUUGCGUCUCUGAGGUUAGCGGCGGACGGGUGGGUAAGACGUGGAUAGCCUACCUAUUUUACUGGGGGAACUUCGGGGGACCAGUGCUACUACCGGAUAAUAUUUUGAACCGCAUGAUUCAAGAGUGCAAGACGGUUUUGCUGUCACUUAUAGCUGAAUCCGCGCUGCAUUAGCUAGUUGGUAAGGUAACGGCCUACCAAGGCAACGAUGCAUAGCCGACCUGAGAGGGUGAUCAGCCACACUGGAACUGAGACACGGUCCAGACUCCUACGGGAGGCAGCAGUAGGGAAUCUUCGGCAAUGGGCGAAAGCCUGACGCAGCAACGCCGCGUGAGUGAAGAAGGUCUUCGGAUUGUAAAACCCUGUUAUUAGGGAAGAACAGCUGCGGAAGUAACCGUGGCUGUCUUGACGGUACCUAAACAGAAAGCACCGGCUAACUUCGUG